UACGGAGGGAGCUAGCGUUGUUCGGAAUUACUGGGCGUAAAGCGCACGUAGGCGGCUAUUCAAGUCGGGGGUGAAAGCCCGGGGCUCAACCCCGGAACUGCCCUCGAAACUAGGUAGCUAGAAUCUUGGAGAGGCGAGUGGAAUUCCGAGUGUAGAGGUGAAAUUCGUAGAUAUUCGGAAGAACACCAGUGGCGAAGGCGGCUCUCUGGACCGAUACUGACGCUGAGGCGCGAAAGCGUGGGGAGCAAACAGG
rnacentral:rRNA from 1 species